rfam:Asian citrus Psyllid, Diaphorina citri - Florida Strain, whole genome shotgun sequence.
GCCCAGUUAGCUUGGUUGGUAGCGCGUCUGCCUUGUAAGCGCUAGGUCGUGGGUUCGAUUCCUGUACGGGGCG